rnacentral:lncRNA from 1 species
CGCAAAUGCACAUGCACUAGUCUUGGAACACAAGGCCUCAUUGUGAGCUCUGGUUAGCAUCACAAUGAAUGUCACCAUUGCCUAGCAAAGAGUCCCUGCUGCUUGGUGGAGAAGGAGACCUCUGUGGAAGUGUGUUGGUUGUGGAGUCUUGCCUGUCUUCUCUAUGGUAUCCACGGGGUUGUCCCAUGAUCCUAGGAGAGGAAAAACAUAAGCCAGCCUGAAGAUACGUCAAGCACAGCCACAGGAAUAAACUGCAAAAUCCCUAAGAAUCCAAAAGGAUCUGCAGGAUUUCUCAAGCCUGCCUAGAUGUCGUAAGUGAUCCAUUGUGUUUCUCAACAGCGCUACUGGACACCAUUCUCAGGCUGGCAAUUGCCACAGAGGGCAUCUGAGACAUUGUCUCAACUUCAUCUGCACCAGUGGGAGGCCUUUCCCAGGUGGGAGAACACUACUCCACUUUGGAAUUGCCAUUGUCAGUGUUCCUGGCUUUCCCAGAGAGCCACUGCAAGGCCCAGGAUGAAGGGAGGCAGUGAGAUUAAGGACACAAUCAUCUUUCACUGACAUCCAACUCUGGGACCUCAGCCCUUGCCAGAACGGUGGUGCAGUGAUGUAUUACCUGCCAACAGCACAAUGUGAGGCAGGGUCCAGCCGUUCUGCCCAGCAUACAACUUGAGGGAGCAGCCCCUUUUGAAGACCUCCAGGUGGACUUCACAGGAAUGCCAAAGUGUGGAGUGAUCAUGUGUGGAUCAAGGACUGGAAUGUAGCCCACCCACAACUACGGUGGGAAGGACCCCAGACCAUCAUUUUGACGACUCUCACAGCAUGAAAAUAGAAGGAUUCCCAGCCUGGAUCAAUCACAGUCAUGUAUCAUCUACAUUGUCUGAGACCUGAGAGGUGAGACUGAGCCUGGUGGACCCCUGCAAAGUGACAUUGAGAAAGAUGGCAAGCCCUGCUACAGUCACAACCAGAAGCUUACUGUUGUAUGCAUGGCAAAAGAAUGAGGAUACUCAUCAUGGGAUUUAUUCUCCUUAAAAUUUGUACUUCUAUAAUAAAGACUGAUUUUUCCUGCAUGGAGGACUGUUC